rnacentral:rRNA from 1 species
UACGUAGGGUGCAAGCGUUUGUCCGGAAUUAUUGGGCGUAAAGAGCUCGUAGGCGGUUUGUCGCGUCUGCUGUGAAAACUCGGGGCUUAACCCCGGGCCUGCAGUGGGUACGGGCAGACUAGAGUGCGGUAGGGGAGACUGGAAUUCCUGGUGUAGCGGUGAAAUGCGCAGAUAUCAGGAGGAACACCGGUGGCGAAGGCGGGUCUCUGGGCCGAUACUGACGCUGAGGAGCGAAAGCGUGGGGGAGCGAACAGG